GACGAACGCUGGCGGCGUGCCUAAUACAUGCAAGUUGAGCGAUGAAGAUUGGUGCUUGCACCAAUUUGAAGAGCAGCGAACGGGUGAGUAACGCGUGGGGAAUCUGCCUUUGAGCGGGGGACAACAUUUGGAAACGAAUGCUAAUACCGCAUAAUAACUUUAAACAUAAGUUUUAAGUUUGAAAGAUGCAAUUGCAUCACUCAAAGAUGAUCCCGCGUUGUAUUAGCUAGUUGGUGAGGUAAAGGCUCACCAAGGCGAUGAUACAUAGCCGACCUGAGAGGGUGAUCGGCCACAUUGGGACUGAGACACGGCCCAAGCUCCUACGGGGGGCAGCAGUAGGGAAUCUUCGGCAAUGGACGAAAGUCUGACCGAGCAACGCCGCGUGAGUGAAGAAGGGUUUCGGAUCGUAAAACUCUGUUGGUAGAGAAGAACGUUGGUGGGAGUGGAAAGCUCAUCAAGUGACGGUAACUACCCAGAAAGGGACGGCUAACUACGUG
rnacentral:rRNA from 1 species